rnacentral:pre_miRNA from 1 species
UGUUAAAAUUUUUUAUCUAUUUCUAUUGUUAAAUAUUGGCACGACUGAUAGAGUAGCUUGAAAGUUACACGUGGAGUGCCACAUAUAUCUCAUUCUGACAUACAUGGACCAGUUUUUAACAAUAGAAAUAGAUAAUUUUUUAACA